CGGCGGACGGGUGAGUAAUGCCUAGGAAUCUGCCUGGUAUGGGGGACAACGUUUCGAAAGGAACGCUAAUACCGCAUACGUCCUACGGGAGAAAGCAGGGACCUUCGGGCCUUGCGCUAUCAGAUGAGCCUAGGUCGGAUUAGCUAGUUGGUGAGGUAAUGGCUCACCAAGGCGACGAUCCGUAACUGGUCUGAGAGGAUUAUCAGUCACACUGGAACUGAGACACGGUCCAGACUCCUACGGGAGGCAGCAGCC
rnacentral:rRNA from 1 species